rnacentral:rRNA from 1 species
CCUACGGGUGGCAGCAGUGAGGAAUCUUCCACAAUGGGCGAAAGCCUGAUGGAGCAACGCCGCGUGAAGGAUGAAGGCCUUCGGGUUGUAAACUUCUUUUAUGAGUGAAGAAUAUGACGGUAACUCAUGAAUAAGCACCGGCUAACUACGUGCCAGCAGCCGCGGUCAUACGUAGGGUGCAAGCAUUAUCCGGAGUGACUGGGCGUAAAGAGUUGCGUAGGCGGUUUAAUAAGUGAAUAGUGAAACCUGGUGGCUCAACCAUACAGACUAUUAUUCAAACUGUUAAACUCGAGAGUGGUAGAGGUAACUGGAAUUUCUAGUGUAGGAGUGAAAUCCGUAGAUAUUAGAAGGAACACCAAUGGCGUAGGCAGGUUACUGGACCAUUUCUGACGCUAAGGCACGAAAGCGUGGGGAGCGAACUGGAUUAGAUACCCGUGUAGUC